CCUACGGGCGGCAGCAGUGAGGAAUAUUGGUCAAUGGGCGCAAGCCUGAACCAGCCAAGUCGCGUGAGGGAUGACGGUCCUAUGGAUUGUAAACCUCUUUUGUCGGGGAGCAAGGCCCGCCACGUGUGGCGGGAAGGAGAGUACCCGAAGAAAAAGCAUCGGCUAACUCCGUGCCAGCAGCCGCGGUAAUACGGAGGAUGCGAGCGUUAUCCGGAUUUAUUGGGUUUAAAGGGUGCGUAGGCGGAAGGUUAAGUCAGCGGUCAAAUGUCGGUGCUCAACACCGGCCUGCCGUUGAAACUGGUCGUCUUGAGUGAGCGAGAGGUAUGCGGAAUGCGUGGUGUAGCGGUGAAAUGCAUAGAUAUCACGCAGAACUCCGAUUGCGAAGGCAGCAUACCGGCGCUCAACUGACGCUGAGGCACGAAGGCCAGGGGAGCGAAAGGGAUUAGAUACCCUGGUAGUC
rnacentral:rRNA from 1 species